GGGCUCGGGGGUCCCAGUU
rnacentral:siRNA from 1 species